UAUUAGUUKUAUUUUUUAACCGUUUAUYGACUGUGUUACUCCAGUCCUGUAGGAGGCGGUAGAGCACACUAGUUGCCCACUGCUUCCCAGGCUGCCAGAGGAAGAAAAAAAAUGUCUAAGAACCAUUUUUGAGGCUCUUAUUUGUUUUUCUAAAGCAUCACAAACAAACAUGCAACAAUUACAACUUUUAAAGAGCAUGUGGAUGAAUUUUUGACUCGCUUAACCAACCGAGUUUUUAUGCCUACUGACCCAGACUCAGACCGUUUGGAGGCUCAAGAACCCUUUGCAGCGUGCUCGGCAGGGAGUCAGAAGGAAGAACACAUCAGCCAAGGAGCCAGGCAUUUGAACGGCUGUAAGAAGUAACUCGGGUGUUAGCUUUCCCCGACGCCCC